rnacentral:rRNA from 1 species
UACAGAGGGUGCAAGCGUUGUUCGGAAUUAUUGGGCGUAAAGCGCGUGUAGGCGGCUUGGCAAGUCGGGUGUGAAAGCCCUCAGCUCAACUGAGGAAGUGCGCCCGAAACUGCUGAGCUUGAGUGCCGGAGAGGGUGGCGGAAUUCCCCAAGUAGAGGUGAAAUUCGUAGAUAUGGGGAGGAACACCGGUGGCGAAGGCGGCCACCUGGACAGUAACUGACGCUGAGACGCGAAAGCGUGGGUAGCAAACAGG